rnacentral:rRNA from 1 species
UACGUAGGGUGCGAGCGUUAAUCGGAAUUACUGGGCGUAAAGCGUGCGCAGGCGGUCUGUUAAGACCGAUGUGAAAUCCCCGGGCUUAACCUGGGAACUGCAUUGGUGACUGGCAGGCUUUGAGUGUGGCAGAGGGAGGUAGAAUUCCACGUGUAGCAGUGAAAUGCGUAGAGAUGUGGAGGAAUACCGAUGGCGAAGGCAGCCUCCUGGGCCAACACUGACGCUCAUGCACGAAAGCGUGGGA